GGACGGGUGAGUAAUGCCUAGGAAUCUGCCUGGUAGUGGGGGAUAACGUCCGGAAACGGGCGCUAAUACCGCAUACGUCCUGAGGGAGAAAGUGGGGGAUCUUCGGACCUCACGCUAUCAGAUGAGCCUAGGUCGGAUUAGCUAGUUGGUGGGGUAAAGGCCUACCAAGGCGACGAUCCGUAACUGGUCUGAGAGGAUGAUCAGUCACACUGGAACUGAGACACGGUCCAGACUCCUACGGGAGGCAGCAGUGGGGAAUAUUGGACAAUGGGCGAAAGCCUGAUCCAGCCAUGCCGCGUGUGUGAAGAAGGUCUUCGGAUUGUAAAGCACUUUAAGUUGGGAGGAAGGGCAGUAAGUUAAUACCUUGCUGUUUUGACGUUACCAACAGAAUAAGCACCGGCUAACUUCGUGCCAGCAGCCGCGGUAAUACGAAGGGUGCAAGCGUUAAUCGGAAUUACUGGGCGUAAAGCGCGCGUAGGUGGUUCAGCAAGUUGGAUGUGAAAUCCCCGGGCUCAACCUGGG
rnacentral:rRNA from 1 species